rnacentral:rRNA from 1 species
GAUGAACGCUGGCGGCGUGCCUAAUACAUGCAAGUCGAGCGAAGCGGGGACGGGUGAGUAACACGUGGAUAACCUCCUAUAAGACUGGGAUAACUUCGGGAAACCGGAGCUAAACCGGUUACUUAUAGAUGGAUCCGCGCUGCAUUAGCUAGUUGGUACGGUAACUGCUUACAAAGGCAACGAUGCAUAGCCGACCUGCGAGAGUGAUCGGACACACGGGAACUGAAACACGGUCCAGACUCCGAGGGGAGGCAGCAGUAGGGAAUCUUCCGCAAUGGGCGAAAGCUCGACGGAGCAAGGCCGCGUGAGUGAUGAAGGUAUUCGGAUCGUAAAACUCUGUUAUUAGGGAAGCGGUACCUAAUCAGAAAGCCACGGCUAACUACGUGCCAGCAGCCGCGGUAAUAC